CUUAGCCGUGUGGUUCUGAGCAGGGUCUGUCAGGAGAUUGGGGUCAAGUUGUCGGCUGAGGCUAAGAAAGCAGAGCUGUUGGUUGAAAUCAUCCCCGUAUGUCGUUGGUCAGGAUCGAGUUGAAUCAGGUCCAGCUGAGAGCCUGAGGCACGGGGGCCACUCAGGAUCCUGGCCCAUCCUCACCGCCAGCAGGUCAGAGACGGCAGGGAUGAGAUGCGACCCUCGCUUCUGGUGUCUCCGAGGACCCUGGGUCUCAGGCUCUCAUGGGCACACCACCCACUUGGGCAUCUUGUGAAGGUGCAGAUGCUAAUUCUCUCAAUCUGAAGGGAGCCUGAGAGCCUGAAUCGAGCACAGCGAUCUGAAAACAAUGUUGGGAUUGCUUACAUCCAGAUUAUGGCUCCUCUCACAAGAUUAUCAGGACACUGGGUGACUUCUUUAAAAAUACAGUGAAACUUUGCAUUGCGAGCAACGUGGUUUUUGAGUGUUCCGCAAGAUGAGCAAAUAUCUCUAAUACAUUUUAA